CGGGGUUUCGUACGUAGCAGAGCA
rnacentral:piRNA from 8 species